rnacentral:piRNA from 1 species
UAAAAUGGAGAUAUAUUACCUACCUUGGCUA